rnacentral:rRNA from 1 species
AUUAAACGCUGGCGGCAUGCCUUACACAUGCAAGUCGAACGGCAGCACGGGGGCAACCCUGGUGGCGAGUGGCGAACGGGUGAGUAAAGCAUCGGAACGUGCCCUGGAGUGGGGGAUAACGUAGCGAAAGUUACGCUAAUACCGCAUAUUCUGUGAGCAGGAAAGCAGGGGAUCGCAAGACCUUGCGCUCUGGGAGCGGCCGAUGUCGGAUUAGCUAGUUGGUGGGGUAAAGGCCUACCAAGGCGACGAUCCGUAGCGGGUCUGAGAGGAUGAUCCGCCACACUGGGACUGAGACACGGCCCAGACUCCUACGGGAGGCAGCAGUGGGGGAAUUUUUGGGACAAUGGGCGAAAGCCUGAUCCAGCCAUGCCGCGUGAG